rnacentral:lncRNA from 1 species
CACCCUCCGUGCCCAUCGGCCGUGUGAUAUUCAUUUGAAAUAUUUUUCUUAGUUGUGAUCAACUAGAAACUGAGAUCAGAACUGGGUUUUACUUUUCCGAAUAAAGUAGUGAACUUGGCUAAGGAAACGAAUGGGGAUUACACCCACAGUGAUUACCAGGCUAAUGGGAGCUGCAGAGGACACUGGAAAGCCAUGGGUGUGAUGGGCACAGACACUAUGGUCCCUUCAGGAUAAGGUACAUAAACACCUUGGACCUCCAAUGACAAACCCACACAUCAAUCCUGAGUUGUUGGUGGUGUUGCUAUUCUUUCUUUCUUUCUUUCAUUUUUUUUUCUGAGACAAUAACUGAGGGAGACUGAACUGGAAUGGGGAGGCUGAGAUUUGUACUUUAGAAAAUCUAUCCUCACAUCUUAAGUGGUCUUCCAAGGAAUAAACUGGCAUGUGAUUGUCUGCGAACCUCUUGUUGGUCCUUAAGGAACCAUCGGGCCUUACGGGGUGGAGAAAAAGCAGCUACUUGAGUGUGUGAAGCUGUCCUCUGCAAAUCUGGGAGGACGAAUUCACCAUUUUGAAAACAGAGAACCUACCCAAUGCCUGGGUGUGGUAAGGAGAGGAAGAGCCGGAAGUACUUCAGUUGAGAGAAAUUCUUCACAACAAAGUUCCAGCGGGAAUUCUGCUCCGGGCUUCAGGCAUGAGCUGUGGAAAUCCUGCCUCCUCUCCUGGGUACAUAAGUCAGUGUUUUUAGAUGCAAGUGAUAGAAGCCCGACUUUAAAAAGAUUGAGCUAAAAUAUAGGAAUGUACCAGCAUAAAUAAGAAAGGAUAAAUCAUUCCUAAAGAUUAGCCUGUUUCAGGGACAUCUACGCUCUGUCUUGAUGUCUUUAUUUUUUUUUUUUCUUCUGCUUUCUUAUACCCCUACACACACACACACACACACACACACACACACACACACACAUUACAACAAAACACAACACACAGUGCUCUAAAAAACAGAGCACCGUUUUUUAGUUAAUGUUCCCCAUGCUGGAAAAACUCCUUCUUAGA